rnacentral:tRNA from 1 species
GCCUGGAUAGCUCCGUUGGUUAGAAUGUGGUGCUGAUUACGCUAAGGUUGCAGGUUCGAUCCCCGCAUUGCAGGGA